ensembl:lncRNA
UACGCAGACAGUUUCCUUUAAAGCUAGCAUUUGCCUGCACAAUCCACAAAACCCAGGGUCUUACAACACAGACAGCUGUAGUUUCAAUGAAGAACAUUUUUGAACCAGGUAUGGCUUAUGUUGCUCUCAGCAGGGUGACGUCUCUCAGUGGACUCUAUUUGCAGGACUUGGAUGAGAAAAAGAUUUAUGCCAAUCCCGAGGUAACUGCAGCGCUCCAAACCAUGAGACAAGCCAGCGUUGAGGAAAUGAUGCCUCUUCUUCAGACAGUCUUCAUUUGGACGGCUACACCAUGUUCAAACGCAACAGACAUGUGUCCUACACAAACUUUCCUCACAUGGCCAGCAGAAGUGGUGGGGGAGUUGUUGUGUAUUUGAGGAAUCAUUUUCAGGUUCAGACCUCCAGACUACAGUUUGGCACCGUUCAUGCAAAACCUGAGUGGAAGAAAACAGAUUCUGG